rnacentral:RNase_P_RNA from 1 species
AAAUUGAGACAAUCGCUGCUAUUUUAGAUAGUAGAGGAAAGUCCAUGCUCUUACAUUCUGUGAUGAAUGUAGUGAUUGUGCUAGGUGAAAAAAUAAAUCUAGGCUACUAUGGUAGAUGGCUGGUUAAGUCCUAAGUUUUUUAAUAUGGAUAAAACCUUUAAAAGUGCCACAGAGACGAGUUAAUAAGGAAACUUAUUAAGUGGAACGGGUAAACCCCACAAAAGAGCAACCCAAAUUAUGGUAGGGGCACUUGAAUAAACUAAACGAAGUUAUAUUCAGGAUACAUUAGUAUAGAUAAAUGAUUGUCGCUCUAAAUAUAUAGAGAACAGAACAUGGCUUAUGAUA